rnacentral:rRNA from 1 species
AUUGAACGCUGGCGGCAGGCCUAACACAUGCAAGUCGAGCGGCAGCGGGACCUUCGGGUUGCCGGCGAGCGGCGGACGGGUGAGUAAUGCCUAGGAAUCUGCCUGUUAGUGGGGGAUAACGCGGGGAAACUCGCGCUAAUACCGCAUACGUCCUACGGGAGAAAGCGGGGGCUCUUCGGACCUCGCGCUAACAGAUGAGCCUAGGUCGGAUUAGCUAGUUGGCGGGGUAAUGGCUCACCAAGGCGACGAUCCGUAACUGGUCUGAGAGGAUGGUCAGUCACACUGGAACGGAGACACGGUCCAGACUCCUACGGGAGGCAGCAGUGGGGAAUAUUGGACAAUGGGCGAAAGCCUGAUCCAGCCAUGCCGCGUGUGUGAAGAAGGUCUUCGGAUUGUAAAGCACUUUAAGUCGGGAGGAAGGACUGUAGGCUAAUACCUUGCAGUUUUGACGUUACCGACAGAAUAAGCACCGGCUAACUUCGUGCCAGCAGCCGCGGUAA